UACGUAGGGUGCAAGCGUUGUCCGGAAUUAUUGGGCGUAAAGAGCUCGUAGGCGGCUUGUCACGUCACUGUGAAAACCCGGGGCUCAACUCCGGGCCUGCAGUCGAUACGGGCUGGCUAGAGUGUGGUAGGGGAGAUCGGAAUCCUGGUGUAGCGGUGAAAUGCGCAGAUAUCAGGAAGAACACCUAUGGCGAAGGCAGCUCUCUGGGACGGUACUGACGCUGAGACGCGAAAGCGUGGGGAGCGAACAGG
rnacentral:rRNA from 1 species